AUUGAACGCUGGCGGCAGGCCUAACACAUGCAAGUCGAGCGGAUGAAGGGAGCUUGCUCCUGGAUUCAGCGGCGGACGGGUGAGUAAUGCCUAGGAAUCUGCCUGGUAGUGGGGGAUAACGUCCGGAAACGGGCGCUAAUACCGCAUACGUCCUGAGGGAGAAAGUGGGGGAUCUUCGGACCUCACGCUAUCAGAUGAGCCUAGGUCGGAUUAGCUAGUUGGUGGGGUAAAGGCCUACCAAGGCGACGAUCCGUAACUGGUCUGAGAGGAUGAUCAGUCACACUGGAACUGAGACACGGUCCAGACUCCACGGGAGGCAGCAGUGGGGAAUAUUGGACAAUGGGCGAAAGCCUGAUCCAGCCAUGCCGCGUGUGUGAAGAAGGUCUUCGGAUUGUAAAGCACUUUAAGUUGGGAGGAAGGGCAGUAAGUUAAUACUUUGCUGUUUUGACGUUACCAACAGAAUAAGCACCGGCUAACUUCGUG
rnacentral:rRNA from 1 species